AUUAUACCACGAGGUACGUUUGGCAAGAAGAAUCUAGAAAAAAGAAGCUGAGCGUAAGGCUGUGCAAGGGAAAUUCAUUCUACGGUGCCGUUUUGUUGGUGGUCUUGGUUUUCAGGUUGGAUGCAAGAAAGUUCAAUAUGGGCCUCGACAAUUCAAUAAGACCUGCCCAUUCCUAGAUGGACUUACAUUAUUGCCACCCCUCUAAAUGCCGCUUAAAAUCCAUUUUCUUUAUUAAUCUCAUUAAAACGUUUAAAAAUAAUACAACGUGUUUUUACUAGUUACGUUAAAAAAAAAAAAAAAAUCAAUUGAAACUUAUUCGUGUAAAUCAACGCCAUUCUUUAGUAUCCUCUUGUUCACAUUCCUCAACCAAUUUUCUUUUUUUGUUUGUUUUAAGCAUUAUUGGCAUAAUUCAGUGUACUGGCAACCAUGUGCAGGGCUUGUAGAUUAUUUCAAUUGGAUCGAUUUUUGACGAGGCAGCAAUGAUGGUGGCUCGACUUGGGUGUGGUCGGCUCGUGAGUGUAGUCGCCUAGUCGGCUUGAUGGGGAACGUGCAUAUUAGGCCAGUUUUGUGGGGGCUGGUGGCGCGAAAGAUUUGCGUCUCCCGUCAAAGUUGGGAUUGGUUAGAUCGGCUUGAUGUGGAGGAGUGGCGGUUCGAUUUUGUAGGGGCUGUUGGUGUGGCGGUAGUGUGGCAGUUGAAUGGUAGUUGUUUUUGUAUAGUGGCGGUGGGUUAGAGUGUGGAAUAGUUUUCCGGUUAAAGCACGUGGCGGUGGUUUGGAUGGGAGUAGACGGCGUCAUUGUUGUUUAGUGAGUGUCCGCAACGGUGGGUCGUCGCCACCGUCAGCCAAAUAAGCCAUAAAAGCCAAUCAAGGUGUUUGGUGCAGUUUGGCCGCGAAACAGAAAAUUUUUUACUUGUCGGUGAGGGUUUAAUUAGUAAUUAUAUCCCCUUUAAAAAAUAUUAGUAACUAUAUCCGAUAAGUAAUUUUAAUAAAAAUUAAAAGAGUGUGGCUAUCAAGGAUGAGUGUCUCAAUACUCAUUCUUGAUAUUUUACAUACGUUCUUGUUCAUAAUUAUUUGAAGGAGUUUUUGUCCCCUUCAUGAAUAAUAAAUAAAAAAUUAAAAUAUUUAAUAAAUAUUAUAAUAAAAAAUUGGGCCAAUAGGAUCAUGUCUAGUAUUUUUAAUGCUCUGAAUAAAAAUUUAAACUACAACCAUUCAAUUAGGUCUAAAAAUUUAAUAAUAUAAACAUUUUGAUAUUUAUUUUUUAAACCAAUAUUUAAUAUUGUACAAUUUAAAUUUUAUUAUUUAUUCACUAAUAAUUUUAAAAAAUAAAACUAAAAUUAAAAAGAAAAAAGAAAAAAAUAUGGAUGGGAUGGGAUUCACUUCAUCGCCGUCCUUUCUCUUAAUAAGAAGUUGGGUAAAAACUAGUUCCAGUCAUUUUCCCUAAUAAGAAAUUAGAUAUAAAAUUAUUCUUAUAUGAUCUCCAAAUGGGAAAAAUCCCCAACGAUCCCCAUUUCCAUAGGAAUUUCUGCCAGUGCCAUUCCUAAGAGCUAUUUGAAUUCAUUAAAUUCUUCUUUACACUUAUUUACUUAGUAAAUCUACUAUUAAAAUCUUAAAAUUAAAUUUUUACCGUAUAAACUUCUUAAUAUCACACAAAUAGUCCUAAUAAUUAUAUAUUAUUGCUGCAUAUUAUUUUACUCUUGAGGUCCACUGAGCCCCUUUCAUGUUUAUCUCUUACUCUUCGUUGUCAUUUUCUCAAUUUCUUUGUAUUUAUGAUUUUAUGUUGCAGAUCUAGUAUAUUGAAAAACCAUCUCUUUGUUUUGAAAUUUGUUUAAUUUUAUGACCCAAAUAUUAGGACCCAAAUACAUAAUCAUUCAUCUAAAAUCUCAAUCAGAUAGGGCAUCUUGCAUCCUUGUUCUAUGGAGGUGUGCUAUCUGAAUUCACUCUUACAAAAUAUUGCUAUUGCAACUGCAGCAAUCUAAAAUCAUUCAUGUAUCACGGUGAAAAAAAAAAUAAUUAUAAACAAAAUAUUUUAUUUAAAGUUGAGGAGAUGGUUACGGUUUAUGGAGGGUGCAAUCAUUUAUGGUGUGUUUACUUCAUGUGAAUAGGAAUGCGUUGGAAUGGGAAUGUGUUGGGAAUAAGAUUUCAUUGUUUACUUAACAAAAUAAAUGGGAAUGAGAAUAUAUUGAAAUGUCAUUGAUGUGUUUACUUGACAAAAUAAAUGAGAAUGAAGAAUGAUAAUGAGAAUCAAAUUACCAAAAUACUCAUAGUAUUAAUAAUUAAUAAAAAUAAUUAAUUUAUCAUUAUUAACAAAUAUUAUCAUUAUUGUUGUUGUUGUUGUUAUUAUUAUUAAUAAUAAAAUAUUAUUACUAUUUUUAUUAAUAUUAUCAUUAUUAACAUUUAUUAUUAUUAUUAAAUUUUAUUAACUUUAUUAUUUUAGCUAUUAUUAAUUAUUUUUAUUUUUAUUAAUAUUAUCAUUAUUAACAAUAAAAUAAUGAUAAAAAUAAUUAAUUUAUCAUUAUUAACAAUAUUAUCAUUAUUAUUGUUGUUGUUAUUAUUAUUAUAUUAUUAAUAAAAAUAAAAAUAAAAAUAAUUAAUAAUAACUAAAAUAAUAAAGUUAAUAAAAUUUAAUAAUGAUUAUUAUUAUUAUUAUUAAUGACAUUUAAAAUAAUAAAAUUAUUUGUAAUUUGAACAAAGGUAAUUUACGAAAUAUGAAAAAAUUAGAAGGAUAUAAAAAUAAAUUUAUGUUUCAUUCUCAUUCCCAACCCCCCAUGAGAAUGAGUUUCUUAUUCUUUAUUUUUAAAUUAUGUGGGACCCACAUAAUUUAUUCUCAUUCCCAAAUUUAAUUUUGUCAAGUUAACAUAACUUUGAUUCCAAUUCCUCUAUUCUCAUUCCUUAUUCUAAGAAGUAAACACACCGUUAGAUAAUUAACUUAUUUAUCAUUUUUAAUAGUUUUACAUUAGACUAUGUUUUGGAAUAUAAUUUUUUAUUAAAAAAUGGAUCUAACAAGAAUUUCUAUGGAUCAAAUAAUAUCACCCAAGUGAAAAUUAUAGAAUAACUAAUGGGGUAAUGGAGUUUUACGAGGCAUGUGGAGGGUUGCAUAUAGCCAUAUAGGCCUAGUCUUGCAUAAGUUUGUGUUGGAUUAGCUUUCCAAAGAUAAAGACAAUAUUUGGUAUAACAACAGUUAGGUGGGGCUAUCUGAACCUAUUAAUUUCUUUUAUAAAUUUAUCUAAAAAAUAUAUAUUUGUUAUUAAAUCUUAAUAUUUUGAAAUUUCAAAGUUAACCCCCCCACUAAUUUCGUCCUUUUUCAAUCUCAUUGCAACCAAAUUUUUCCUAGCAUGGUUGUCUAUAAAUAAAAUAUAAAUAAAACUCUCUUAACUUUAGAUAGAAAUUAAAAUGGAGAUAUUUGUUAAUUUAUAUUAUUUCUUGAGAUAGAAAUUAGGAGGUGUUAGUUUUUCUUUAUGAAAAUUUAGAUGAAAAAAAUGAUUUAUUCUUUAUGGUAUAUGAAGAUUGCUCGCAAAUGUUGAGUUUUGUUCCUUAUUGUUCUUGAUAGAUUAUAACAAUAUCUAUUUGAAUUUUGACCAGUUUGUCUUAUCUCUCAAAACAUCUGCAAUCUAUCACUAAAAAAAAGGGUAAAAAUUGGUGAGAAAUGUAAAGAACUAUACAAAAAGAAAAUAAAGUUAGUUAUAGUAUAGAAAGAGAAAAUGUGGUCAGUUAGAUAAUUUCAUCAAAAAAUUAUUAAUAAUAAAAGAUUAAUUGAAAAGAGCGUAUAAAAAGAAAAUUAACGGUUUCAAAUAACCUUAUCAAAACACCUUAUCCAUAUAGCCUUAAGAGUGUAUAAAAAGAAAAUUAAUGGUUUCAAAUAACCCUAUCAAAGCACCUUAUCCAUAUAGCCUUAUCGUUGUGUCAGUAGAGUUUAGCCACAAAUGAGUUAUUCUUGCUAAAUUCAUCAAAUUUAAGAAUAAUUUAAUAUUAUGAGAAAAAAUAAUAAUAAUGCAACAUAAGUUCAUCAUAAAGUGAUUAAUUUAUUAAUAUUAAAGUGAUUAAUUGGUAUAAGUUGGAAAAUAAAAAUAAUGCAGAAAAUAUGUUAAAAUUUUGUAAUAAUUAGAUAUAAAUGAGAUAAAUGAGAUGAAUGAGAUGUCAUGCAAGAUAAUUUCUUUGAGUGUUUUUUUAAGUUUAAUUUUUUUUUUUAAAAGACUCUUCAGUCUUCACAAUAUAUUAAAGGACUCACCAAUGAUGCCGAGUCAGUUGGUCUCAGUUACUGCACCAGCCACCCUCUACUCACUCACUUUUCUUACAGGAAAAAGCCAAAACAACUCUUAAACUAUCUCCGGCAUGGACAUUGAGAAACCGUCGAAUAAAACCGCCGGGAAACCAAUUCAAUGCAGAGGUAGGUAGCAUUUAUUUAUCAUACUGUACAAAUCUUCUAUUAUCAUUAAAUUAAAGUCAUCAAUAAUUCGCCUUGAGCAUGAAAUGAAUUAUAAUCGUUGACUUUCGCGUCCGCGUCGUAAAAAUCUGUAGCCGCAAUCGCUACAGCUCCAGGAGAGCCUCUGGUUAUAGACGAGGUUAUCGUCGACCCUCCAAAUUCCCACGAAGUUCGGGUUCGGAUAAUCUGUACUAGUCUCUGUCACAGUGACGUCACCUUCUGGAAAAUGAAGGUCUCUUAUCAAAGUCAAACCCUUUUGUAUUAUCUUUAGUUUUAUUUUUUUCUUUAAAAAAAUUAUUUAAUUUAUUUGCUUGUUAUUAUCGUUGUUUUAUUUUUCGUGAAGGAUUUUCCAGCCGUGUUUCCAAGAAUUCUCGGUCACGAGGCUAUCGGGUAAGAAUUAUAUUCUAUCUUUUAUACCUUUGUAAUUUUCUUUUUCCUUGCAUGACGGAUAUGUCUGAUGAAAAACUCAAUCUUGGCUGAUCAUGUGAAUGUGGCUUCAUUAAGCUAGUCAUUAAUUGUUUUGCUUAAUCUAUCCCAAUCUAUUUUUAGUGCUAAUGUUGACGCUGGGUUUUCCAUGGGGCCAACUUGGUUGUUCACGAUGAAUUGAGAGUGUUUGGCCCUUGGCUGACAUGGUCUAAAUAAUUAACAUUGUGUUGCAGAGUUGUGGAGAGUGUUGGGGAGAAUGUAGAUGGAGUGGUUGAAGGAGACGUUGUCAUCCCGCACUUUCUGGCAGAUUGUACAGAAUGUGUAGGUUGUAGAUCAAAGAAGGGCAACCUAUGUUCAGCAUUUCCUUUCAAGAUCUCUCCUUGGAUGCCAAGGGAUCAGACAAGCAGAUUCAAAGACCUCAGAGGAGAGACUAUACACCAUUUUGUCUCUGUUUCAAGUUUUUCUGAGUAUACUGUUCUAGAUAUUGCCCAUGUAGUCAAAGUUGAUCCUACAGUCCCUCCAAAUAGGGCUUGCCUUCUAAGCUGUGGAGUAUCAACAGGUACCAGCCACUGAUUUUGAGGCUAUUAAUUGUCUUGAUUAUAUGCAAUACAAGAUCUCUGUUUUCCACUGGCUUCAGUUCUCUCAGAUCAACUGGAAUUUGGAUUUUAUAGGCGUGGGAGCUGCUUGGAGAACAGCAAAUGUAGAGGUUGGAUCAACUGUUGUUAUAUUUGGGCUUGGUUCAAUUGGAUUAGCGGUAUGAUAUUGUAGAAAAUCGGUUGAGUGUUAUACACUUCCUGUUUGAACUUUCGUAUAUGGUAUACUGCUGAAAUAGGUUCAUAGAUAUCUUUUGGUAUCAGGUUGCAGAGGGAGCGAGAUUAUGUGGUGCUACAAGGAUUAUAGGCGUGGAUGUGAUCUCGGAAAAAUUUGAAAUUGGUGAGUGAAGUUUAUAUGUUGUACGGGCUUAGGUUUGACAGGGAAUAAUCUCCUCAUGUCAUCACAAAUAAAUAAUUGUUUGUGUGGACACAUCAUUAUGAAUCAACUAUUCGAAGUAUUUGAUAGAUACUAAGUUAAACAAUUCUGUUUUAUAGGCUAAUUGAAACUAUGAUUUCUGUGAUUUCUGAUUGAUGUUUAUCCACACAGGAAAAAGGUUUGGAGUUACAGAGUUUGUGAAUUCUAAAAACUGUGGGGAUAAAUCUGUAAGCCAGGUCUUGCUCUCAAUCUAUGAUCUUCCUCUUCUUACUAUUUCUGUUAGUUUCUAAUUUUGAGGUAGAGGAUGCCAUGUCAUGGCAGUUUACAUCCUUUUGGUGAUUUCAGCUUAUGUCUGAAGUGGUUUUUCCAUUAGGUUGUUUUAUCGUUUAAAGAACAAGCAUUUGCAUCUUUGGGGUGUCAACAAACUUGGAUCUUUUGUGUUGAACCUAAGCAUCACAGAGUAGUUAGUAGUUACUAUAUAAUUGAACAAGUUUGGACCUAAGAUACCACUCUUUUGAACCUUUGAGAGCUUAUGACUCCAUAAACUCUACAUAGGAUGACAAUGAAGCAUAAAUAGUGCAUUUUGUGAAAUCUUCUUUAUUUAUUGAUUCAGUUGAUGAGAUAGCCUGUGACUGCUAUCUCAUAUUUCCUUUUGAUUUUAUGCCUUCUCCCUGUGAUACUGCAGUUUAAGUUGUUAAUUCUUAUUACACUGCAAUGUAGAGGGAUAAAUCUUAUACCUCUGCAAUGAGAUGCUAUGAAUUAACCUACACUGCAUUGCAGUGUUAAGAAGGAUUAACCUACACUCCUUUUAAGAUAAUCAGUUACAGGAUAAUGUAUUAACCUUCUCUGCAAAGCAUUGUUGCAAGGAUAAUCAUAAAUCCAUAAAUACUAUUCAAUAUUAUAUUCUAGGUAUGGGAGAUGGAAACUGUUUAAAGCAAACAAUCUAUAUGCAGCACAUUAUGAAGAGUAAUCUCUCUCUUCUUUUUUUUUAAUUUGAUAGAUUAAUCUUUAACUACUAUUUCACUUAGUUUUUUCUUUAAUCAAUUUGAGCAGAUAAUCAUUGACAUGACUGAUGGGGGUGCUGAUUACUGCUUUGAAUGUGUUGGUUUGGCAUCCUUGGUGCAAGAAGCAUAUGCUUGUUGCCGAAAGGUCUGCUUCUAAGUCUCUCACUCUCUCACCCAUAGUGUUGUACAAGCAGAAUUAAUUUGAUUAAACAUAAGCUCAAUGUGACUAGGGUUGGGGGAAAACAAUUGUGUUGGGAGUGGACCAGCCGGGGUCACAGUUGAGCCUGAGCUCUUUUGAGGUCCUUCACAGUGGAAAAAUUCUGAUGGGAUCAUUGUUUGGAGGUCUCAAAGCUAAAUCUGAUAUUCCUAUUCUUUUGAAACGUUACAUGGAUAAGGUAAUUUAACCAUUAAUAUAAUGCUUAUUUACACACACACACACACACACACACACACACUUUUGCGUAGCCUAGCUUCCCAAAGAUCUUAUGUUAUGGUAGGUUAUAUAAUGCUCAUUACUUUUGCAUAUUCUUGCCUUGCCUAGCUCACAAAAGAAUCUUAAGUUCUAACUCUAUGGCAAUAAAUUAAUAAUGGUAGUUUUAUAAUGUGGUUCUAGACUUCUGUAUGCUCUCUUCUAGGCUUCACGAUUAUAGACUAAAUCGUAUGGUGACAUAUUAUUGCCAGCACAUCUUUGAUAAUACUAGUAGUGGUCUUAUGUUCCUUUUUCAGGAACUAGAGCUGGAUAAGUUUGUCACUCAUGAGAUGAAGUUUGAAGAAAUCAAUAGCGCGUUUGAUUUACUUAUAAAAGGAAAGUGUCUCCGUUGUGUGAUAUGGAUGGGCGAAUAAGAUUUCUUGCAUUAUUUUCUUGUAUGUACUUUCUCCAAUAAUUACCUCUCAUAUCUAAGCAAAUUGACCAACCAUUUGUGAUGGACCAUGUGUAUAUGAUACAAGAUUCGUUGGUUGAAUAAGUGACUUCUGAAAAAUUUUAAAUUUGAAGAAUCUUUUUUACCUUAUGACCAAGAGCAAUUUAAUUAUGUUAGGGCUUACCAGCUUUGUAUCUAGAGAUAGAAUGCGUUUGGUAUCAAGCAGAAUUAUAUGCCUCUUUUCUUAUAAUGGAUUCGUAUUCUGGGUAAAACUGCGCUAUUUUAUUGACCUUACAGAAAGUAUAUCAUUGAUCAGUUUCCUCGAUCCUCAACCUCUCAGCAUUUGAAUUGGAAGAAUCGCUGGCUGCACUAAUAUCAUCUGGAUACCUGUUAGGGAGCUUUUCUGUUAGUCCAUUUAACAAGUAGCAAUGAACGAUUUAAGUCACACGACAAAUUGCUUCUAGCACAUUUAUUUGGGAGCACUUGGCUAGGUAUCGUUAACGGGAACAUCAAAUUGAAUUUAUUACGUGAAAAACUUUUUUCUUUCAUUAUCAUAAUAAUUGCGAUAAUAUUGAUCGACCCAAAAAUAGAAAAUAGUUAAUGGGAACAUCAAGUAGAAUUUAUUACGUGAAAAACUUUUUUCUUUCAUUAUCGUAAUAAUUGCCAUAAUAUUCACCGACCCAAAAAUAAACAAAUAGGUGAGUGACAUAUUUGAGUUUCAAUUUGAAUCAUAAUAUUAUGUAUCAUUCAUCUAUCGUAUGAUAAAUAUAAAAUAACUUAAUAUCUUAUUUUAUUAUUUAAUAAAUAAAUAUUACAUUAAUUGAAAUUUAAGUUAACACUCAAAUGUUAGAAUUCUUAACAUUACCUUAUUAGAAAUAAGCAUAUAAUCUAUUGAUAUCAUACGGUAAAUUUUAAAUUUCAAAACCGGAAGUUUUAAAUGGAAUGAAUGCACCACGUCAUGAAAUAUAAAUAUGUGUUCAAAAUAAUUCAUUAUAUGGAAAUUUGCAAACUAUAAGAUUGUGUUAGGUGGACAUUAGAAUGAUACAGAAUGCUGAUUUAAAUGGAAACUAAAAAAACCCACCACGUCACCAGAUCUGAUGAAUAAUUUGUAACGGAUAAAACCUUUAAAUGGAAACUUGCAAGUGAUAGCCAUUCCCGCUUUCACUUUCUCGCAAUGCUCUCAAUAUCAUUGUUCAGUUCAGUGGCAUGGAUAUUGAUAUCGAGAAGAAACCGUCGAGUAAAAUCGCCGGGAAACCAAUUCGAUUACAGAGGCAGUGAUUGCAAACAAAUAUAAAGAUAAUAAUUAAUAUUUUCAUUUUCUCAAAAGUCAUCCGUAUUUCUCGUCCUGGUCUUGAAAAUCUGCGGCCGCAAUUGCUAGAGCGGCAGGGGGCAGGAGAGCCUCUUGAUGUAUAGAAGAGGUUAUUGUGGACGCUCCAAAAACACACGAAGUUCGACUACGGAUCACCUGUACGAGCGACAUCACAUUCUGGAAAAUGUAGGUCUCUAAUAUAUAUCUUACAACUAUUAUCUUCAAUUUGCUGAAAUAAAUUUAAGCUUUAUGCUAUGAUCUUACAAAUCCGUUCAACACGUCAUACGGGAGAAAGGCAGGAUUUUACCUUGGUUGGCCAUGAAAUGGACGCGCUGCUCAGCUUGUUUAUGGCCCGUGAAUUCAGCCUUCUGUUCUUCUAAUUUGUAGCAAGUCUUGGCUUCAAUCGCAGCUGCAAAAUCAAGCUACUCAUUCACUGUACAUACACGCACGGUGGGAGAGAGAGGAGAAAAGAUGCACUGCACUUUUUCCUUAAUAUCAAUCUUGAACAGUGAAUUCCCUUAAAUAUUGUGGGGGCGUUCAUGAGUUGAUACAAAAUUGUUCAUCUCAUUACAAACUAAAAUAAUAUAAUUAAAGGUUAUAUUUAUUUAUAAUAUGCGAUUAUAAAGGAUGUAAUAAAAUUAGACUGGUAAACACAAUAUAUAAUCACUUUAUAAAUGAGUGUAUAAAAAUUACUCCUUAUUAUUUGACAUCAGUCAUAUAUUAAUUUGAUAGAAUAAAAAACAAUUAGAAUAAUUUAUACUAGUCCACAAUAUGUUAUAAAUAAAUCCAAGAUAAUUAUGUCACAUUUUAUUUAUAUUAUUUUAUUUUGUUGUUAAUAUAUACUGUAUAUUGGUUUUAUCUUUCUUCAUGGAAUUUCGGUUGUUUUUCCAAAAAUUCUAUGGUCACAAGGCUAUCAAGUAAGAAAUAAUAUAUUGUCGAGUGUUCUACCUUUCAACCUACCAUUUUUAUGAAAAAAAUAGAAUUAUCAAGUAAAAGUUUAUAAUUUACAAUGAAUAUGACUCUUAAAUAAUAAUUUUGAUAAAAAUAAUAAAAAUAUCAUAGGUUUUUCAUUAUAUAAAUAGUGGAUCAAAUCAACUUAACUUUCAGGUUAUAACUGCUAAUGUUUACCGAUAACUUUAAUGUUAUAUCUUUUAACCUAUAAUUAUCCAAUCUCAACAAAUAAAGGUCAUAGUGAACCGCGUUAUUUAAGAUAUUGCAACCAUCCAUAUUAAUCAAGUAGAAAUUAAAUUGAAUUAGUAUCACUAUCACUAUCUAUUGUCAGUGCUAAUAACGCAAGAAAUUUAAUAUUAGCUGCUAGAAUCAUGAUAACGAGAGAGUUUGCCAGGGGACGAAUAAUUAACAAUAAUAGUACGUAUGCAGAAUUGUGAAGAGUGUUAGGGAGAAUGAGGACGAAAUAGGAGAGGGAGAUAUUGUCAUCCCACACUUUGUAGCAGAUUCGACCGAACGUGUAGACUGUAGAUCAAAGAAGAGCAACCUAUGUUCAUCAUUCCCCUUCGAGAUCUCUUCUUGGAGGAUGCCGAGAGAUAGGACAAACAGGUUCAAAGACCUAAGUGGAGAGACCAGACACCAUUUUCUGUCUCUUUGAAGUUUUUCCAGGGUACCCUGCUGUAGACGUUGCCCAUCUACUCAAAGUUGAUUCUACUGUCCUCCAAAUAGGGCACGCCUUCUAAGCUUUGAUGUGUCAACAAGAAGCAGUCAUUCAGUUUGUUCUGUAUCACUUGCUUUUUAAUUUGGUUGAAUUCGACAAUUCCAACAACUCCUAUUUCGAUUUUUACAGGCUUGGAAAACAGCAUAUGUGGAGGCUGGAUCAACCGCUAUUAUAGUUGGCCUUAUCUUGUACGGUACACAUUAAUUUGUUUGGUUGAGUAAGUGUUAUGUGAUAUAAUUGCUAAAAUAUAUAUGCUCAUAGUCAUAGAUAUAGAUAAUACAUUUUUGUUAUAAUAUAGAGGUUGCAAAGGUUGCAAGACUGUGCGGUGGCACAAGGAUUACAGAUGUGGAUGUGAAUCAAGAGAAAUUUGAAAUUGGUGAGUGAGAUUCUAAUGAUAUACAGUAUUUGGCAUUGGUUUGUCAGGGGAUAAUGGACACAACAUCGUGAGAUCAACCAUUCCAAGCUUUUGAUGUGUGGGCACCAGUUCUAUUUUUAUAGGCCACCGGAAACCAUGAAUUCUGAUUGAUAUUCAUCCACCUACAACAAAAAAAAAAGCUCGGAGUAACAGAGUUUGUAAAUUCUAAAAACAGUGGGGAUAAAUCGGUAGGUGACGUCUUGCCCUCUCAAUCGAUUAUCAUACUCUCUGGCUGUAAUAUUUUAAUUCUAUAAUGACUAAGGGCGUAGCCAGCAUAGGACCAGGUGGGGCACAUGCCCCAACUGGCUUUUAAAAUUUUUUUUUAUUGGUUUUCUGAAAAAAAAAAUCUAUAUUUUAUUUAUUAUUUAUAAAAAUACCUCAGGUGAAUUGCGAAACUUUGAAAAUGCCACAUGUAAUUUUAAAAAAAUUUUAUAUUGCCCCCAACUUAAAUGCCAAAUUCUAAAUAAUUUGAUUAGCUAUUAUAAUUUCAUAAAAAAUAAUAAAGACAAACAAGAGAACCAUUUAUCAAAUGAAAUCCAUUAAAAAAUCAAUUAAAAUAAGUGAAAUCUAAACUUUACUCUUUUUUUUCCGUCUCUUCCAUGGAAUAAAGUGUGGUGGGUGGACUCCAUAGCAGUCAUCACCAUGUGCGUGGAUUUCUUCUCACUUUUCUUCUUACUUCAAGAGUUAAACAUUCAUUUUAAUAAGGUAAACACUGAAUUACUUUGUUGCUUGGCUUGUUUAUGUCCAAAAGAUUCAUUUGCAGCUUUUAAUAAAAAAAAGUUAUUGCGCCUUGCUCAACUUUAUCCAAGAGAUUUUUCUCCAGUUGAUCUCAUGGCACUAGAUAUUCAACUUGAUGUUUACAUAAUGGAUAUGCAAUCUAGUGUUGAGUUUUCAGGAUUAAAUGGGAUUAGCAAUCUUGCACAAAAAAUGGUUAAGACUAACAAGCACAAGAUGUUUUCAUUGGUCAAUUUAUCAGUCACAUUAUCAUUACUUUUACCAAUUGCCACCGCUACUGUUGAAAAAGUUUUUUCAACUAUAAAUUAUGUAAAGAAUCGACAACGCAAUUAAAUGAAAGAUAAAUGGUUGAAUGAAUGAUAAUCUGGCAGUAUACAUUGAAAAAGAUUUAUUUGAUUGCAUUGAUAAUGAAACUAUUUUACAACAUUUUCAACACAUGAAAUCCCAUCAAAGAAUUAUCGAUUAGAACAAUUGUAAUAAGUAAAUUUAUUAUUAAUUUAUAUUAUAGUUGUGAUUGUAUUUACUGUAAUCUAAAUUUUCAAAAUUUAUUAUCAAUUUAUAUUAUAUUGCGAUUCUAUAUGUUGUAAUAUAAUUUUCAAAAUUAUACUACAUUUUUAGUGUGCCCCCAGAUCAAUUAAAUUCCUGGCUACGUACCUAUGACUAACUACUAAGCUUUAAUAUUUACUCGGUCGUGUCUUUAUGACCAAUUUGAGCAGGUAAUCAUGGAGACGAGUAAUGGGGUUGCUGAUUGCUGCUCUGAAUGCGUUGGUUUAGCAUCCUUGAUGCAAGAAGCAUAUGUGGAUCGUUGCUCCAACGGCGUAAAGACACUUCUGGAGAAAUAUCGCUUAUGUUGUUUCCCUCGGUCGACCAAGCUGGCGUGUUAUCUUCUGCUUUCUCAGAGAAUUCCCAACAAUCAUCACCAGCAUCCAAAGCUGCUGAAUCUGCUUCUACACAUGAAUAGAUAGGUAUUCACACAAAAGGAACUUAUGAACAGAAAAAUCUAUUGUACACUUUCAUUCUACAGUAGCGCAAUUUCAAGAAUAUCCUUAGUAGAAUGCUAAAUCAAAUUAAGCUAGUAGAAAGUAAAGCUUCAAACUAAUUGACAUAAUUAAUCAAUUAAUUACAAAGAGCCCCAUUUGUUGUUUCAUUUAUCAAAUGAAUUUGAAUCCAUUACCGGUCUCUUAUAUAUAAUUUUUAGUGAGAAAAAUAAAAAUAAAAAAUAGAAUUCGCAAACCAGAAGGUGAGCUGAAAAAAUGACGGCGAAAAGCAGUAAACUGAGCAAAGACAUUAGCAGCGUCAAGAUAAUCGCCAGCUGAAAUCCAAACCGAAACCGCCGCGCUGCGAGCAAAACCCAAAACCUCUCGAGGCCGAAACAAAUCGGAACGACGCCGUUCUUCCAAGCUCGACAAAACAUUUUUGCCGGACAACUUCAGGGCGUGAUUCAGCAAGUCGUCGUUCGUGCACUUGCGGACGAGGGAUUUGAAAUUGGGCUCGAAAGAAACCACUUCCGAUUCGAUGAAAUAUCGACAGCGAGGGCAGUUUUGAGAAUUAAUAUUAUUAUUGUUGUUGUUGUUCGAGGAGAAGGAGACUAAGAUGCCGAGAGAGUCUUGCCUGAUAACAACACCCGGCCACCAUUGCUGAGGAUACACUAUUCUUGACCACACUAUCUCUCCCCUCUCAAUUUUUGAAUUUCGCUCCUCCUUCUCCAUUUUAAUAACAGCCAUCAGCUUCCCUUUUACGAUUCCAUUCUCUUGCGCAGAUUGAUGUCCAGAGAAGUUUGGGGGGCCACUCACCAGUUUCAUCAAUAAAAAGUUAUUUUCUUAUUAUUGUUGAUCACCAUAUUAUUUCUAUAUAUUUUGGUUAUAUCAUCUUCAUUGUACGUAUGAUGUGUCUCUUAUAUUUCCAAAAUUUAAUGUGAAAAAAAUAUUAAUCGGCCAAUAUGUUUUUAUUAUGAUGGUGGGAUCGAUUAGAUUUAUGAAGAUUAAUUAUUUUUUUUCAAUCGUGCGGCAUUUUCCUACUAAGGUUUUAGAUUUUUAUUAGGUUUGGUAUGCCAAUGCCAUUAUGCAUAUGACUAGAUUGAGAUAGUCUAAUAUUUAGUAUUGUCUCGUAUUUAGUGUAUAGUUAGUAAUAUGGAUGGACAAAUUAAUAAAUUUAUCAGCCUGCCUAAUCAUUAGUAAUUGUAUUAAGUCAUGCAUUAGCAUACAAGAUGCCUAAUUUAAUACAAGUGAGGUUUGCCGUUGGGCAGCUUCAUAUUAUUUAAUUUUCUUGUACAAGAAAGUAGAAUAAUCACCCAUGCGGAAGCCCAUGCGUGUUCUAUGUAUUAUGGUAGCUAGCUUUAUAUUGUGACUCUACGCAGUCCUCAAUUUAUAUUAAUCAUCCAGUGCUGCCAAAAUAUUAAAUACAAAUGAUGUUUGGCGUUCGGCAGCUUCAUAUUAUUUAAUUUUCUUAUUCAAGAAAGUAGAACAGUCAGUCACCCAUGUAUGUAUAUAUAAAAUCUCCUAUGAGACUGUAAACGCACUAGAUGCACCCGUGAAGUAGUGAUUUGUAGAAUUAACUGCUUUCUUAGAUGACCCAAAAUGCCGUAGCCGAUAAACUCCGGGGAUAGCCUUCGUCGGCACUUCCCAUUCAAUGGUUGCUAAGCCAUGGAAACUAGUAUUCUCCAAACUCCACUUGAAAUACAGGGAGAAAUCGUCAUCGUCAUAAACCGGAAUCCAUCGCUUCCCCUGAAGCAUUUCAACCACAGCAUAUGUUCCUUCUGUUAACAGAUCAUACCUAGGGUUGGCACUCCAAAAUGUGGCACUUGGUCUAUCGCCCUUGUUAAAUGAACCGUCUUUUGGUUGAUUGAUAUCUUCCUUUAUGUCACCAAACAUUUUGCCUGCCGGAGGCGAGUCUCCGGUUGGGUUUAGUGAAAGGCUGAGUUGCACGGAUGAAAGAUCCGGUGGCGAAGGACCCUUCGUGGUUUUUUCUCCUUUUGCCAUUGCUUGUGCUAAUUUUUUGAAUUCUUGAAUGUAUGCUGGCAAUGUGUGGGGUCCGUAAAGCGUUGACGCAGCCUGCAGCACAUAUCAUUUUGGCAUCGAUCGAUGUGAUUAGAAUAGAAUUUCUUCCGUCAAAUCCUAAAAGAUUUUUCUUAUUUAAUUUAUUUUAAUUUGGAAUAAGUACCUCAUAUCGUUGAUGUGCGUAUUCUUCGAAUGUUGCAAUGUAUUGUGAAUAAGCGUUUGUAAGUCCUGCUAUUACGAUGUGGGUGUCAUUAUCAAAUUCCCCAUUUCCAUUAUUUAUUAGAGUGUCCUUAACUGCUUCCCGUAAUCUUCGACCCGCCAUUGUUGUAAACUCUGCACUUUCAAAUAGUUAAAUCUUGCCCCACAACAGAAUAUUAAUCACAGUUUCUUUGAAGCUAAACUAUACUUGUUAUUAAAAGAAAAAGUUUAACCCAUUUACUAAAAGCAAAGCUAUACAUACACCAUUUUGAUAAAUAGAGAAGGAAUUUGCGUAUAACUGAGCUAACCUCCCGGUACAGAAAGUAUGAUAAGCUUUCCCAACCUCAGAAUUUGAAUUGGGAGAACCGCUGGCUGCAUUGAUAUCAGAAAUAUGAUUAUCAGAAAAUGUUCUUUUAAGCUGCCAAAUUGCUGUCUAAUAACUUUAUUUUCUUUUGGCUCGGAGUUUCCAAGAUUAGCAAAUUCAUGCACAAGAAAAAUUCAGCACGUUACCGCCCAUGCAUAAGGUUCAAACAUUUCGCCGGAGGAUAGCAGAACAGCCUUUGGCUUUUGACAUUCCUCCUGAUACUGGCUUGGCUUUUUCAAUACGUCCCUCAACUGUUUCCACAGUUUAUUGAUCUAAAAACAUUAAAUAACGAGACAAAAAAAUCACGGGUUUAAAUACCUUGUUCAUUUAACCAAAAAGAAAAAGAUCUAUUGACAAUCAAAUGCCUGAAUCGGUGAGCCCUGACCUCUGUAUCACCUUGUUGAAAACCAAACACACCAGGUCCAUCUGUAGUUCCGGCGGCGAACCCUGGGCCUAGGGCUGCAGGGCAAGUCUUGACUGUGUUGUUUCCUGUUCCAUCCAAUACAACCUCAAUAUUUGUGAAGUUUAUGUAGACAUGACGAUAAUCAAUCUUUCCGCUCAAUUGAUCGGUUGCAGAAUUGAAUAAAUCAACAGCCUUUUGGAAUUGCCUUUCUCCUAUUAUCUUUGUGCUUAAUAUUUCGUCUGGAUACCUGUUAAAAUAGUUACAGAUUAGUUUAACAUGUUGAGCAAAAAAUUCAUUAGUUUCUUUGAAUGAAUUGAUAUAUUAGUACCCAGGUCCACGGCCUAUGCAGAGCUGGUCAUCGCCAUGACAUGAUGAGUGAUUGAAGUCACAAGGCUUUCCACUAUCAAUGCAAAAUGCUCCUAGCACAUUUGGGGUCACAUCUCCAACAUUUGAUUGGCAAAACGCUCCCACAAAUAGCGAUCCAUCGUUCUUCCUCACUUUGAAUCCUUGGCUUGUUGUUUUUCCACAUUGCUGUCCUCCAGUGGCCUUGAUUGUUUUCGAUUUCUCCAUCAAUUUGCCAAUAUCUAUUUCAAAUGAAUACUGCACAUGAGUUAAAUCUCGCAGUGAUCAUGGAAUCCUAAUUUGAACAAAAAUGAAAUCAAGAUUUUUCUUGCAACAUGGACAUCUAUUCAUCUAGUUGGAAGCUGCCGUUUCAGCUACAAAUUUUGAAUGCCCAAGGUGUUUGAUAUGUAUUGUUAACAAUAACCGAAUGGGUUAAAAGUUACAGCACCCUAUCCCGACCCGAACGGCUCUUCUGUGUUAAAACAACUUACCCGAUGAGGUAGAAAACUUACUGGUUGUUGUGGAGGAAGAUUCGUUUUUGGAACUGAACCAGUCUUCAAAGAACCUGGCAGCAGCGCCCUUGUUGUCUCCGCUGAUGAGCAAAUUGUCUCUGGACAUAGAGGUGCCGUGUGUAGCAUACCAAUUGAAGGCUCCUAUGCUCUUCCCGCUUGCUGCAUCAACAAAUUUCAGAAGGGUCAUUUCUUUGUCAACGUUUUCUGGGUAUCGAGCCCUCUCCUCCGCUGGAUUAAGCAGAUAUGCACUUGGACUCCUGUUUAUUCCAGCAUUUUCUACGUCCCCUGAAGCAUAAACAAGACAAAUGACAUGGAAAUCAUUUUGUUAAUUUGCUUAAGGAUAUCGAUUCAAUGCAUGCGCAAACAGCUUCAAAACUGAACACGGACCUUUUCUAAUGAAAAUUGAACCAGGCUUUAAAUUGUUGUGAGCCUGAACAAUGCUCUGGACAAUUGCGGUGACAAUGGCAUCAAACGAUUGUUGGACAAAUCCUAGAGACGUGAUAGAGUAAAUCAAGUACUGCAAGUAACCCCCAGGUCCGGCAUGAGUAUGGAUUCCACUGAUUGCUAUGUUCUCUUCAGUAUACAAAUUUCCAAACCUUCGAAACGAGUAACAUUAUAUGAGAUCACCAAUUAAGCAAAUUCUGACAUCUUAAGGUGCUUUUUAAGUUUCGCUUGGCUUAUUUACUGUACCUUGUUUUAAGUUUCUCUAGCACUUUAGUAGUAACAAGUUGUGAAGCCAUGCCGGCAUCAAGAUUCACAAAAGCAAAUCUUGUUCCGUUGGAACUCUCGGCCACAAUGAAAGUUCUAGCUCUAAGACGGAAAUGAAUCCCUGCAGUAUUUUGGAAAAGAUUGGCAUAACCCAUCAUGUUUAUUCCAGCAGCGGGACCUGUCAUGUCAUAGCUCCCUACUCCGACCAAAUACUGACCAUCUGCACUUCUUAUUAGAGCAAAACCAAAAACGAUAGCAAUAAUAAGUGACAGAAAAUACAAGUGUUGGUUUAUUUUGCUAACCAUAAUUUCUUUGUGGGACCUGGAUUGUAAAAUCCGGUAGUCAUGAAGUUGUUGUAUAUAAAGAUACGGAGUAUGGAAUUUCUUGGACUUGUUGACACAAAACGUUUCUUAGUAUGUCGUGAUUAGAUUCUUCGUCUUAUUGUCAACGCCUCACUUGAAAAAUAGAUUGUUCGCUUACUUUGUCUAAGAUGUCCCGAGGUUGAGUUGGCACCAAAGAAUCUCUUCUUGGGUUGCUCCGCACGCGGAGAGUGACGAGGCCCGUUCUUGUCUAUCAUCGGGUAUUUAUUAUUCUGUUUACAUGCUUUAUCUGAAUCAUAUAAUAUGAUCAUAGUGCUUUACAUUCAAUUCAAUGUUUUAUUGCUAAUGUACAAAAUUGAUGGGUUUCGCAAUUAAGUAAUAUGCUAUUGGAUCAUCUCAAUAGCGAAUUAAUGGACAUGGGACUAGUCCAGAUUCCAAUUUGUACUCCUUAAUGGGUCUCGUUAUCUAGUGCCAACAUACUAUUACUUCUUCUCAGCAUGCAUCAAAAAACUAAUAAAUUCUGUCGUGUAUUUAUUUGGGUUGAAAUCUGCCAAAUAAUUACAGCCGGUUCCUUCUAAAAAAAAAAAAAAAGAAAGCUGGUUGCUAUAUAUAUUAAGUGAAUAAAUAUUGUCAUCAUCUACCCGUUGAUUGUAUCACCUUCUUCCUACAAUUAUAGACUUUUUGAACGCAAUGACUUAGAACUAGAGCUGGCAAAAUUUGACACGACCCGAUUACCCGACACGAACACGACAUAAAUAAAUGGGUAUGGGUCAUCAAAUUUAACACGAUUAUUAAAUGAGUUGGGUCCGGGUCAACACGAUUUUUUUCCGUGUCGGGUUUGGGUUAAAAUUCUUGACCCAUUUACCCGAUCAAUGACCCGAUUAUAUUUUCUAUUUUAAAAUAAUUUACAUAUUCUUAUAAUUAAAACUCAAAUAUUAGAGAUGAUUUUCUUUUUUUUUAUUCUUUAAAAGGGUGAAUAUAAACACAAUGUUUUAUUUAUAAAAUUUUACAUACAUUUAGAGCUUCAAUAGUGUAAAUGUGUAAAAAUUGAUAGACAUGUAUAUUUUAUAAUAUUGAUAUAUAAUAUUAUUGAUAUAUAAUAUUAUAUAUAUAUAAUUAAAACCUCAAUAGUAUACAUGUGUAAUAUAUUGGUAGAUAUGUAUAUUUUAUAAUAUCGAUAAAUUAUGUAUGUAUGUAUUUAUGUACAUACGUAUGUAUGAUAGUGUGUAAAUAUUUGAUGUAACUUUUGUUCAAUAUAUAAAUAUUAAACGGGUUAUUGGGUAAUCCGAUUAUUUUUUCGUGUCGGGUUUGAGUCUCAAUAUUUUGACAUGAUUAUUAAAUAGGUCGGGUUUGGGUCGACCUAAAUUUGACACGACACAAAACUGACACGACACGAACACGACUCGAUGAUCCAUUUUGCCAGCUCUACUUAGAACCACCCAACUCGCGUUAAUCAUUUAGUCAUGGACAAUUACAUGGGUUUAAUUUAAAACCGAUUGGGCGAUAAUUUGUUACCUAAUGUCAGAAAUAGCAAAACGACAAGGAAUUAGACCUCAAAAAAGAAAAAGAAAAAGAAAAAUCAUAUAUCGUCCGCACAAAACUUAAGAAAGAAGUUUUUGGGGACAGCUCACGAUUUGGACUUAUAACUUCUGUUCUUCUCAUUUAAAUAUGCAGAUGAAAUGAUAGAUGAAUCGUCUUUUCAAAAUUAGAGCCUGAUUCAAAUUAUUCCACUUAUAACGAAGACGCUAGAGAUCUAAAGAGUUACACGUCCAGAGUCUGCAUGGACCCGCUAUUACACCUGGCCAUAUUCAUCGUUCAUCAGUCGAGUGGCCUUUCAAUUAAGAUUCUCAAAAAUUUAAGGCCGUCUAUUUAUUUUCACUUCAUAACUGUGUCACUCAUUUAAUAAAAUUUAAUAUUUUCUCUCUAUAAUUUUUAACAUAAUUUUACAAAAUCAAUAGUUUUACAUGCUUAAUUUUUUAAUCAAUUUUAUUUUUAAAUAUAAAUAAAUGAUAUUUAAGAUAAGAAAAUAUAAGACAAAUCUAUUGAUUAAGAUAUAUAAACAAUAUAAGAUAAUUAAUUAUGUCAAAAAUAAAUAAUCAUAUUUGAAAUUCAAAACUUAAUUCUAGUACAGUGAUUAAUAAGAUUAACAUGAACCAACUUAUCCAGUAAUUGUAUAAAUUUAAUCAUCAAAACUCAGAUCUAUGAAUCGUGUCAGAUUUUGCAACGUCAGACUUAUGAGUAUUCUGGGCUCUUCCCAGGGUCCACGUCUACAAAGGUCCACAAUUUACGUGCAUGAUGUCGACUUAUCCGCAAUCAGUGUUUUUCAUAACUUUAAUAUAGAUGACUGCUGUACCGUACAUCCGCCUUGGCCGUACAGCAGUUUAUAGCAAUCAAAGCAUCAUUACAAUUUACAAGCACGCAGGUGGUACCCAGCGUUCACACCAAAGUUUACCAAAACUCAUACAGCAAUGAAACUAUUUCACGUUAUUCAUCCAAGUACAUAAACAGCACUUAUACAUUAAGCAUAAAAUCAAAUGGUAAUAAAGGCAAAUUUAAAAAAAAAAAAAAAAGCAUUACAAAGGAGAAAGAACUGAACAAACCACACAAACAGGAGACCGGCAAAAACAGUAAUUGUAUCAAACACAUUACAAAUUUAAUCUUCUUAAUUAAUGGGCAGCAGUUUCUUUGUCCUUAUCCUUUUCGUCCUCAGACUUUGGGUGGUAGCCAGGGAGCUUCUCCUUGAGUUUCUCCAAUAUGCCCUUCUUCUCCUUGGCCUCUGCCUCAGGAGCCUCGACUGAUGUGGGGUGCUCAGCAGCAGGAGGAGAAGGGACCUGAUGAUCUUCAGGUUUCUUUUGCUGUCCUGGUAGUUUCUCCUUGAUCUUGUUGAGAAAUCCUUUCUUUUCUUCAGGAUGGGCUUCUUCCUGGUGGUGGGGAGCAUGGACAUCAUCAAGUUUCUCGACAGGGACUGUCGUGUCCUCUUCUUUCUCACCUGAUAUUUUCUCCUUGAGCUUCUCCUUCAGUCCCUUCUUUUCCUUCUUCUUCUUCUUCUUUUCCUCAUCAUCGCCCUCCUCCUCAUCGCUUGACUGCACACACACACACACACACACACACCAAAAAAACAAUUUAAAAUACGAUACUUAGGAUCAUUCGUUCAGAUUGUUUUUAUUUUUUUAUCAUAAAUUAAGAUGAUUAACAAAUGAAGAAACAGAAACUUACAGAGCUAGAGCUGCUGGUGGAUCGGUGAAGUUUGUCUAAGAAACCGGGCUUCUUCUCUUCCUCUUUCUCCUCCUUCCUGUGUUCCUCUACCUUUGGCUGAGGCUCAGAGACAUGAACUUUCUCAAACUCGGUGGCGAUCACCUCCUGAUCGUGAUGUUGAGGUUUCUCCUCUUCUUUCUUCCCCAAGAAAUCAAGCAUCCCGCGAUCCUUGGUCUCCACUGCACCUUCCGUCCCAACACUCGGCUCGUACUCAUGGCUCUUCUGCUGCUUCUUGAUCUCUUCAGCCAUACUUGUCAAUUAUCACUCACAAACAACAAUUUUUAACAACAGAUCAACGGACAAGAACACAGAGAUAUGUGGUAUGUGCAAUAAAGUAAGUUUUCGAGCUUCUUUAAGGAAUUUUUGCUUACUUAAGACACAGAGUACGUGUGCUUUUAUAGUGUCACACCACGCGGAUCUGACGCGAUUAAGAGAAUAUAAAAGCCCAUUUGGAUUAGCCAAUCACAACUAGCUCCAGUGACCGACGUGUACCUUAAGACAAAGCAGAAAACAACCAAUCCACUCUCUCGAAUAACUUAAAAACCAUUACUCGCUUUCUCUUAUUGACAGCUGUCUAUCGCUGAACGUGUCGAAUCCUUAAGGCGAGUGGAGGGGCUUGAAAAGAGGAGAACGGCGAUUUAACGGACAAAAGAAGAAAGUAGAAAAAUGGAGAGGGAGACACGCUGUACCGUAAUGGUGGUGCUGGGAUACGACCGAA
rnacentral:lncRNA from 1 species